rnacentral:misc_RNA from 1 species
GAUGAAGAACGUAGCGAAAUGCGAUAAGUAAUGUGAAUUGCAGAAUUCAGUGAAUCAUCGAAUCUUUGAACGCAUCUUGCGCUCCUUGGUAUUCUGAGGAGCAUGCCUGUUUGAGUGUCAUUAAAUUCUCAACUACACUGACUUUGAAUUGGUGUGGCUUGGAUUUGGGGGGAAAAUUGUUGUGGGCUUUUUGUAUAGUCUGCUCCCCUGAAAUUGAUUAGCGGUACCUUUGUGGAACUGUCUACAGGUGUGAUAAUUAUCUACAUCUUAGACAUCUGNNNGAAUGCUGCUUUCUAAACCUUACUUGUAUUGACAAUCUUGACCUCAAAUCAGGUAGGACUACCCGCUGAACUUAAGCAUAUCAAUAAGCGGAGGA